rnacentral:rRNA from 1 species
UCAAGCGCGAAAAGGGCGUUUGGUGAAUGCCUUGGCAGUAAGAGGCGAUGAAGGACGUGAUACUCUGCGAUAAGCGUAGGUUAGCCGAGAAUAGGCUUUGACCCUGCGAUUUCCGAAUGGGGGAACCCACCUAACAGUUCGUUAUUGUUACCUUUUAAGGUAUCAAUAAUGGAUUGAGAUAGGUACUUAAGACCUGAAUACAUAGGGUUUUAAGAGCAAACCCGGGGAACUGAAACAUCUAAGUACCCGGAGGAAAGGACAUCAAUAGAGACUCCGUUAGUAGCGGCGAGCGAACGCGGACCAGCCGAGCCAUGAUUGUGAUCAGAACGCACUGGAAAGUGUGGCCAUAGUGGGUGACAGCCCCGUAUGAGAAGCAAGAUUGGACGUAUUAAGUAGGGCGGGACACGUGAAAUCCUGUCUGAAGAUCGGAGGACCACCUUCGAAGGCUAAGUACUCCUUACUGACCGAUAGCGAACCAGUACCGUGAGGGAAAGGUGAAAAGCACCCCGACGAGGGGAGUGAAACAGUACCUGAAACCGGACGCCUACAAUCAGUUGGAGGGGCAUAAGCCCUGACAGCGUACCUUUUGUAUAAUGGGUCAUCGACUUGGUCUAUCUAGCAAGCUUAAGCCGUUAGGUGUAGGCGCAGCGAAAGCGAGUCUUAAUAGGGCGACUGAGUUAGAUGCAUUAGACCCGAAACCGAGUGAUCUAGGCAUGGCCAGGUUGAAGGUGCAGUAACAUGCACUGGAGGACCGAACCCACAUCUGUUGAAAAAGAUCGGGAUGAGCUGUGCCUAGGGGUGAAAGGCCAAUCAAACUCGGAGAUAGCUGGUUCUCCGCGAAAUCUAUUUAGGUAGAGCGUCAUCCGAAUACCCCGGGGGGUAGAGCACUGGAUGGGUAAUGGGGCCCCACAGGCUUACUGAUCCUAACCAAACUCCGAAUACCCGGGAGUACUAGAUGGCAGACACACUGCGGGUGCUAACGCCCGUAGUGGAGAGGGAAACAACCCUGACCGACAGUUAAGGCCCCCAAUUCAUGGCUAAGUGGGAAAGCAGGUGGGACGACCAAAACAACCAGGAGGUUGGCUUAGAAGCAGCCAUCCUUUAAAGAUAGCGUAACAGCUCACUGGUCUAAAUAAGUUGUCCUGCGGCGAAGAUGUAACGGGGCUCAAGCCAUGAGCCGAAACUUCGGACGCAGUAAUGCGUGGUAGCGGAGCGUAGUGUGACAUAGCACCACGCCUCUUUAGCAAUUCUUUUGAAUUGCCUUGGAGGCUUCGGUGCUUUCUGUGAAGCCGGGCUGAAAGGCAUCUGGUGGAGAGAUCACUAGUGAGAAUGAUGACAUGAGUAGCGACAAAGAGUGUGAGAGACACUCUCGCCGAAAGUCCAAGGGUUCCUGCUUAAAGCUAAUCUGAGCAGGGUAAGCCGGCCCCUAAGUCGAGGCAGAAAUGCGUAGACGAUGGGAACUAGGUUAAUAUUCCUAGGCCAGGAGGAUGUGACGGAUCAUGAAGGUUGUUCACCCUUAUUGGAUUGGGUGGGCCGCUAAUUGGUUCCUGGAAAUAGCCCUCCAUUAGACCGUACCCUAAACCGACACAGGUGGACUGGUAGAGAAUACCAAGGCGCUUGAGAGAACUAUGUUGAAGGAACUCGGCAAAAUACCUCCGUAAGUUCGCGAGAAGGAGGCCCGGUUCCUAGGCAACUAGGGGCUGGGGGCACAAACCAGGGGGUGGCGACUGUUUACUAAAAACACAGGGCUCUGCGAAGUCGCAAGACGACGUAUAGGGUCUGACGCCUGCCCGGUGCCUGAAGGUUAAAAGGAGGGGUGAGAGCUCUGAAUUGAAGCCCAGGUAAACGGCGGCCGUAACUAUAACGGUCCUAAGGUAGCGAAAUUCCUUGUCGGG